rnacentral:rRNA from 1 species
GUGGGGAAUCUUGCGCAAUGGGCGAAAGCCUGACGCAGCCAUGCCGCGUGAAUGAUGAAGGUCUUAGGAUUGUAAAAUUCUUUCACCGGGGACGAUAAUGACGGUACCCGGAGAAGAAGCCCCGGCUAACUUCGUGCCAGCAGCCGCGGUAAUACGAAGGGGGCUAGCGUUGCUCGGAAUUACUGGGCGUAAAGGGCGCGUAGGCGGACAGUUUAGUCAGAGGUGAAAGCCCAGGGCUCAACCUUGGAAUUGCCUUGGAUACUGGCUGUCUUGUGUUUGGGAGAGGUGAGUGGAACUCCGAGUGUAGAGGUGACAUUAGUAGAUAUUCGGAAGAACACCAGUGGCGAAGGCGACUCACUGGCCCAAUACUGACGCUGAGGCGCGAAAGCGUGGGGAGCAAACAGGAUUAGAAACCCGGGUAGUCC